UUCCUCUGCCUGGUUUUUAAUAGCUGCAAAUCUUUCCGCUGCCCGCAGUGAGCUGAAUGCAGCAACAGCAAGUAGGGGGAAAGCAUGUGCAGGUCAGCUGGAGCCAGCUCCACCUCCCAGAUUUGGUGUCAAAUGUCAGGAUGUUGUGCACCUCGCUCCGAGGCAGAAGGAGCCCAUACCUGUCAAGGUCCUUGGCUCCUUUCCAGAGGUCAAUGCAGGCACAGCUCCACUGCUACUGAGAACACAGAGACUGAGGGGAGGCUACAGAGUUAAUAUUUCCC